rnacentral:tRNA from 1 species
GGUGCUGUGGCCGAAUGGCUCAGGCACGGCUCUGCAAAAGCCGGGAUACCGGUUCGAAUCCGGUCAGCACCU